rnacentral:rRNA from 1 species
GGGUUGUGAGGUUAAGCGACUAAGCGUACACGGUGGAUGCCCUGGCAGUCAGAGGCGAUGAAGGACGUGCUAAUCUGCGAUAAGCGUCGGUAAGGUGAUAUGAACCGUUAUAACCGGCGAUUUCCGAAUGGGGAAACCCAGUGUGUUUCGGCACACUAUCAUUAACUGAAUCCAUAGGUUAAUGAGGCGAACCGGGGGAACUGAAACAUCUAAGUACCCCGAGGAAAAGAAAUCAACCGAGAUUCCCCCAGUAGCGGCGAGCGAACGGGGAGGAGCCCAGAGCCUGAAUCAGUGUGUGUGUUAGUGGAAGCGUCUGGAAAGGCGCGCGAUACAGGGUGACAGCCCCGUACACAAAAAUGCACAUAUUGUGAGCUCGAUGAGUAGGGCGGGACACGUGGUAU